rnacentral:rRNA from 1 species
GAUGAACGCUAGCUACAGGCUUAACACAUGCCAGUCGAGGGGCAGCGGUAUCGAAAGCUUGCUUUCGGUAGCCGGCGACCGGCGCACGGGUGAGUAACGCGUAUCGAACCUGCCUCAUACUCGGGAAUAGCCUUGCGAAAGUAAGAUUAAUGCCCGGUGUUUUCAGAGUCCCGCAUGAGGCUUUGAACAAAGAUUUAUCGGUAUGAGAUGGCGAUGCGUCCCAUUAGCUUGUUGGCGGGGUAACGGCCCACCAAGGCAUCGAUGGGUAGGGGUUCUGAGAGGAAGGUCCCCCACAGGGGAACUGAGACACGGGCCAAACUCAUACGGGAGGCAGCAGUGAGGAAUAUAGGUCAAGGGGCGGAAGCCUGAACCAGCCAAGUAGCGUGCAGGAAGACGGCGCUCCGGGUGGUAAACUGCUUUUAGUUGGGAAGAAAACGGGGCUCGUGAGCCCGCUUGCAGGUACCAGCAGAAAAAGGACCGGCUAAUUCCGUG